AGACGUCUACAUUAGAUACCCGGGUAGUCCCAGCCGUAAACUAUGCGCGUUAGGUGUAUCGGUGACCACGAGUUACCGAGGUGCCGAAGGGAAACCGUGAAACGUGCCGCCUGGGAAGUACGGUCGCAAGGCUGAAACUUAAAGGAAUUGGCGGGGGAGCACCACAACAGGUGGAGCCUGCGGUUUAAUUGGACUCAACGCCGGGAAGCUCACCGGAUAAGACAGCGGAAUGAUUGCCGGGCUGAAGACUCUGCAUGACUAGCUG
rnacentral:rRNA from 1 species